rnacentral:rRNA from 1 species
ACGGGGCGCAGCAGGCGCGAAAACUUUACAAUGCGAGCAAUCGUGAUAAGGAAACCCUGAGUGCCUGUCGACGCAGGCUGUUCUGGUGUCUAACACACACCAGGAGAAAGGACGGGGCAAGACCGGUGCCAGCCGCCGCGGUAAUACCGGCUGCUCGAGUGAUAGCCACUUUUACUGGGCUUAAAGCGUUCGUAGCUUGGUCGUUAAGUCUCUGGGGAAAUCUUUUGGCUCAACCAAAAGGCGUCUCAGGGAAACUGGCGACCUAGGAACCGGGAGAGGUAAGACGUACUUCGGGGGUAGGAGUGAAAUCUUGUAAUCCCCGAGGGACGACCGAUGGCGAAGGCAUCUUACCAGAACGGCUUCGACAGUGAGGGACGAAAGCUGGGGGAGCAAACCGGAUUAGAUACCCGGGUAGUCCCAGCCGUAAACGAUGUGCGUUAGGUGUGUCAGCGACCACGAGUCGCUGAGGUGCCGAAGGGAAACCGUGAAACGCACCGCCUGGGAAGUACGGUCGCAAGGCUGAAACUUAAAGGAAUUGGCGGGGGAG